rnacentral:rRNA from 1 species
UACGUAGGGGGCUAGCGUUGUCCGGAAUCAUUGGGCGUAAAGCGCGUGUAGGCGGUCCGGUAAGUCCGCUGUGAAAGUCGGGGGCUCAACCCUCGGAUGCCGGUGGAUACUGUCGGGCUUGAGUACGGAAGAGGCGAGUGGAAUUCCUGGUGUAGCGGUGAAAUGCGUAGAUAUCAGGAGGAACACCCGUGGCGAAGGCGGCUCUCUGGAUCGGCCCUGACGCUGAGGCGCGAAAGCGUGGGGAGCGAACGGG